UACACAGACAUACAUGCUAGCAAAACACUCACUGUGAUGGUUAUUCUUGGUUGUCAACUUGACUACAUUUGGAAUGAACUACAACCCAGAAAUGGAGGGCACAUCUGUGUGGGAUUAUUUUUCCUUGCUUUGAUGUGGGUGAAUCCAGACCUCUGAGGUAGUUAGAUACACCCCUUCGAUCUGGAUCUGGAGGCAGGAAGCCACACCUUUAUUCUGGAACAUACCUUCUGCAGGAAGUUUUUCCUCUUUGCCUGCUUACUCUCUCUGGCAAGUUCACUCCUUCUCUAGCAUUGGAGCCUACUUCAGUGUAUACGGAAGACCAGCUGAGACAACCACCCUUGUGGACUGAGCAACUUCUGGACUCUUGGACCUUCCAUUCACAGCCAACCAUUGUUGAGAUAGUUGGGCUGUAACAUAUCACAGCAGUCUUGAAAACGGUCUCUUACUUCCUGUUUAUACACUGUCAAGAUGGUAAACAGUGUGGGCCUUUCCACACUGACAGAACAUUUCACAGUAGCAGCAACUGCUCCAGUGGCCAUAUCAGGAGACAGCAGCCAAAGCUUCACACUACAACAGGGCUCCACUCUGGGGAACAAGACUCGCCCUCCCUCUGUGGCUCCAUCACACUGCACUGAGAUUCUUAAUGGAUACACACAGACUUUGCAAGGGCAAGAGGUCCCGGGUGGCCCCAGAUCCCAGGAAAACUGUAACAAGCAAGAUGGACUCAUCUCAACACAGGCAGAGAAACUUUGGCAGCUUCGUACCUAACCCACAGAAUGAGGUUGUGACUGAAACUGUGACGUCAUGAACCUAUCAUGUGACUGGGCAGGACAACCACAUGAGCAUGGGAGCCCACACCAGUAUUUAUCUAACACAAUCUAAGGGACAGAGCUGCCGGAGAGGUGGAGGCGCUCUGUAGAGCAGAACCUACUCACAAGGAUGGCUGCUGCACACAGGCACACUGAGCAACGUUCCCACCUUAAGGACAGAGGAAAAUCACAGUCCAUGGUGGUAGAGCACACCUACAGUCCCAGCACUCAUGAUGCUGACACAGGAAGACCGAGUGAGUUCUUAGGCCAAGCUGAGCUGCCUAGCAAGACCCUUUCAAAAGAACAAAACCCACAACAAACAAGUGGCCCUUAUCAGAUGUGUGAGUUUGCCUGGCUUGACUAUGUCCCACAAGCCUGACCUGCUUCAGGUCAGGGAAAAUAUCUGACUGUGAGACCAUGAGCCAGAUCCUUCUUAGCAGCACCUCUCACGGCAGCGCCGCCUGCCCAUUAGACAAGUGGCCUUCGAUAUUCUCUUGGGGAACAGAGAGAUAAUGUGCCUUUGGUUUCUCUGGUGUCUGGUGCAUGACAUCUCACCUGGAGAGAGUGUGCACUUGAGGUCUGAGAAACAAGUGAUGGUCUAGGUUCUUAAAGCAAGUAUGGCUAUGCUGGCAAAUGCCUGCUUUACAUCCUAGUUCAGGGUAAGGAAUGAGAUGCCAAUGUGGCCAUUGAGCUGAGUGCUAGAGACAGAUGUGUUGUACGAAGACCUUGUCCUUGAAGAACCCUAAUGUUUUGAAGGGUUUGGCUCAUUCUCCCCAACAGGGACCAAUGUCUAUUUUUUCUUUUUUGCAUUUUAAUAACA